ensembl:lncRNA
GCCCGCCCCGAGGUGGGCCGGGCGCGGUGCUGCUGCUCGGGUUGUGGGCUCAGUUGGGCGGGCGGGGUUGUGAGGUGUUCAGCCGGCCUGAGGGAGAAAGGGGGAUUUCCCAAGUUAACGCGCUUUUUAAGUGUGGAAGCACAGAAGUGAAGGGGCGUCACGAGGCGGUGUGAAGAGCUUGUGGAAGGGUUGAUCCAAAUCUCACUGUAUCCCUCUCCAAGAUGAUCGGGCCCAGUGCUGGCAGGACCUGCAGCAGACUGGGGGAUUGCAGCAUACAUAUGUGAGGACUUCCUGCACCAGGGGCACCCCAGGGGAGUGCAGAGACCCACUGGGAGCUGGCGGUUCUGGUGAGAAGAACUGAGAAGACUCCAGUGGGGCCAGGAGCAGUGGCCAUCGUUCUCUGCGUGUGCAGAAGACAGCCCCAGGGACUGUGGCGAUCGGCACAUAGCGGGUCUGAUAGAGCCAAACAACUUUUAUCUAAUUCUGCUCAUUCAAGCUGGAUCACAGAAGGCUUUAACAAGGAGACUGCAAAACAUUAAAAGGGACUUUACAUCUCUUGGAAGGAUGUAGAAGAGAUUGGGAGUGUAAGUAGUGUUGUCUUCUGUCCUUCUGAUGGAGGCUGGCACCUGGGAAGGAGGAGAACAGGACAAGCGAAUGAUUGGCUGUGUGGAUGGUGCUAUACAUGGGGCUGUGGCUUCCAUGAUCUUCGACAGGCCUUUGAGGUGCUGAGCAUGUUGACUUCAAAUGAGACACAACUGACUGGGUGGGACAAGAAUGUUCUGGGAAACAAGCUGUCUGGGCUGAUCAGCAGAACUUAAAACUAGAUUCGAUGGGGAAAGGAGGUGGAUUUCAAAAUGACAAAGGAAGACUGGCGAACGCUGUCACUUUAGAAGGCAGUGGAGAUGGACUUCAGAUUUGUCCCCAAGGAACUCAGGAGGGCUCCCUGAAGAAGCUAAUACUGCUGAUUGUCUGGAUGAUGUGCCUCUAUACCAGUGCCAGCAGCAUGGGAAAUAAUCAGGAGGAGCUGGAAGACAUGGCACAACGGAAAAACUUACCUAGUUGCUAUCAAGGAAAUGUGGAAUGAAUUGCACAGCUGGAGCACAGUGAUCAAGGCCUGCAAGCUUUUUAGGAGAAAUACAGGGGGAUGGAGGGGCAGGGGAGUUGCUCUCUGCGUUAAGAAGUGGAUAGAUUGAAAAGAGCUGCCUUUGAAAAACAGCCAUGAUCAGAUGGAGAGCUCGUGGGCAACAGCAGGAACUGGUCCAUUGAAGGCCAUCUGGUGAUUGGGGUCUACUACAGGUUGCCCCAUCAAGGGGAGCUUGAGCACAAGGCCUUCUUGCUACAAAAGGCUCUCAUCCUGAUGGGAGAUUUCAACCACUCAGAUGUCUGCUGGGGAAACAACAUGAUGGGCUGCAAGUGAUUCAGGAGACUCCUGAAGUGCAUGGAUGAAUAUCAGGGACUGGUCCAACAAAGGACAUCUGAUGUUAAGGGGUCUACUACAGGCUGUGUGAUCAAGGGUAGCCUGUGGAUAAGGCCUUCUUGCUUCAGAUACAGGAAGCAUUGUAUUCACAGGCUUUCAUCCUCAUGGGGAAUUUCAGCCAUCCAGAUGUCUGCUGGGAAAGAAGCACAGUGGGUUGCAGACAAUCCAGGAGACUCUUGAAGUGUGUUGAUGAUAACUUCCUGGUCCGGGUAUUAUACAAAUUGACCUGAGGGGAAGCGUUAAAAGAUCUGUUGCUCACCAGUGUAGAGGAGAUCAUUGAGGAGGUUAAGAUAGAAGGCAGUCUGGGCUAUAUUGACCAUGCCUUGGUUGAAUUUGUGAUCUUGAGGAAUAUGGGCCUGGAGAAAAGCAAACUCAGGGCCUGAACUUGAGGAGAGAGAACUUCUGGCAGUUUAAGGAAUUAUUAGAUGAGAUCCCUUGGAAAGCUGUUGGAGUAGAGCUGGCAGCUCUUUUAAGGACACGUUUUUGAAAUCACAAGAACUCAGUAUAGGAAAACAAAAAGAGAAAGCAGGAGACUGGUAGGGCUGAGCAAGGACCUACUGGUCAAACUAAGGGAAAACAGGAACUCUCUCUUGAACUGUCUUUCUUGAACAGGGGUGCCAAAAUCUGCACACAGUACUGCAGAAUUGGCCUCACCAGAGCAGAGUAGAGGGGGAGGAUCACCUCCCUUGACCUGCUCACCACACUCUUUUUAAAGCACCCCAGGAUACCGUUAGCCUUCUGUGUCACAAGGGCACACUGCUGGACUAUGAUCAAGCUGCUGUUCACCAGUACACUCACAUCCUUCUCUGCAGAGUUCCUUUCUAUCAGAUCAGCCCCUAAUCUGUACUAGUGUGUAGAGUUAUUUCUCCCCAUGUGUAGGACUCUACACUUGCCCUUGUUGAACCUCAUAAGGUUCCUUUCUGCACAACUGUCCAGCCUGUCCAGGUCUCACAGAAUAGCAACACAGCCUUCUGGUGUGUCAGCCACUCCUAGCUUUGUAUCACCAGCAAACUUGCUGAGGGUGCACUUUAUCCCUUCAUCUAUGUCCCUUAUGAAGAUGUUAAACAAGACCAGAUGCAGUUCUGACUCCCGGGGAACACUGUUAGCUACAGGUUUCCAACUAAGACUCUGUCACUGAUCACAACUCUCUGAGCUGUACCAGUAAGCCAGUUCUCAAUCCACCUCACUGUCCAUUCAUCUGUCCCACAGUUCCUAAGCUUACCUAUGAGGAUGUAGUGGAAGACAGCAUCAAAAGCCUCGAUGAUGUCAAAGUUGACAACAUCCGGUGUUCUCUGCUCAUCUAUCCAGCUGGUCAUGGCAUCAUAUAAGGCUACCAGACUGAUCAAGCAUAAUUUCCCCUUGGAGAAUCCAUGCUCACUACUCCCGAUGACUUUCUUCUCUUCCACUUAGAAAGGCUUGGAUUCCAUGCUUGAAGAUGACAUCCAGAGUAAGUUUUCCAACCUACAAGAUUCCAUGAUUCUGUUUCUUCAUGCUUGGACUAUGUUGCCAUCUGGGAUUUUCUGGUAAUUGCCAAGAAGUUGGGAAGGUUCCAUAGCACUGCGUUUUCAAAUUUGUCCUCGGUGAACUGUCUCAUAUGCAGUGAAUUUCAUGCAACAUCCAGUAUAACAUUAGGAACUCUUCUUUAGGACUGCUACAUGGAUAGCUAAAGUGGAACAACAACCUAUAUGGCACAUGAAAUGCCAGAGUUUGUGGAGGUGCUACAGAAGAGCACAGAGGAUUAAAGUAUCUUGUUGACACUGAUGAAAAAAUAGAGGCAAAAGGCUGGACAUGUUCAUAUUGUGAGCUAACAGCUUUCUUCCAGUCAUAUAGUGAACUCCCUUAUUUUGAGACAUCCUGACAUAUGAUUUUGAUCCCUAGGUCUACUCUGAGGCAGGGGAAAGAAAUUAUAGAAGUCACUUAAGAUAUGAAGGGAAGUGGAUUAGGGAUGGAAUGGUACAAAGCAGGGGAUAGAGAUCAGAUAUAUCUCAGACAGAAGAGACUUGCCUGUUUUAAGUCUGCUGCUGCUAGCAUCGUGUGUUGAAUGAGACUCAGCAAUAGCCAGUUGCAUCUUAGAUUUCGUCCAAGUAACAAUCUAGAGUAGCUUUUGAGUGAGGAGAGAUGAAGGGAUGAGAACAUAUAGGGAUAUGUCUGCUGGAAACUGAAAACUUGAUUCAGAAAUUCACUAUUUAAAAAUGGAAUGUUGUUUUAAAUUAGAAUUAUUUUUUAUUUGCGUGGUUGUAAAUUGUUCACAGUGCAAGCGGGGUCCUCUUCCUGGGAGUUGUAAGCCUAUUAAAAGAAGUGCAGGCUCUGCUAUUUCAGCUGCCUCUUGAGGAUCCCUUAGCAGUUUAAUUGUCCUCCUGUCCAAAAGCCCAUUUCCCAGCUUGAAGGUCCCUGAUGGCCAUCAGUCAAACCAGAAGACGUCGAUGACACUUGUAGGCAAGAAAAAAGUUUAGUUACAUGCCAUGUGCACUCUGUCCGGUAGGGGGAGAUGUUGCCAAACGGCAGGAGUAUUCAAACUGGAGGAAACUGGGUUUCAUGGACGAAAACAAUGAAUGCUCCAAGGAUCACCGAGGAGACGGCUCGCUGUGGUUUUGGGAUAGCCAAGAACAACUGAGCAGAGAGCGGCAUUUCUGGGAAGAGGCAUCAGAAACUACAACAGAUACGAAGAGCUUGAUUCUCAAGAUAAUUCCUCUUCACUUGAUGAAUCCCAGGCAAGCCAAAAGGUUGGACAACCAAGAUGUCUACUCAUCCAUGCUAAACUUCAGAGAGAUCCCUCUAGUUUCUCCUGAUACCUUUGCAUUUCAUUCAGUAUGGCGUGUUGUAGAAGUGAGACUCAAACCCUGGCUUUCCUGUGCCCACAACAUUGUUACUGGAGGAGCUGGAUUCACUGAAUGGCAGAUGUCACCACAUGGACCUUCCCCACGUCACUCUCCAUCUACACCUCUGAACAUGAGAGGGGAGUGUAUCCCAUUUAGGCCACCUUCACUGGACCUGAAGUAAGGUGAGAGAGUCUGUGGGCUCUUCAUGCCCCUGCCAGAAACGUGCCUUCUAACUGGUCUCUUGAUGCCUCACCUGCAGCUGAGGCACCUGCCGCUGAGCACCUGGAGAUGCAUUCCGGCCAAGAGACUGAACACCCAAAACUAUCCAUUAGCAUUUUCCAUGAAGAGAUAAGCUCUGCUCUCUGUUGGAGUUUCACUGUAGUAGCUAGGGGUUUGGGAGACCUGGCUUUGUUUCUGGCUCUGUCAUUCAUCUUCUGCAUGGCCUUGGCAAGUCCUUUCUCUUUUCUGUGCCUGCCUUUGCCCACAUACUCCUCUUCUGAACUAAUGGCGGUACUGUGGCUGUUUGAAUCUGUGUUGUGUGAGUAAAUAAACAGUAACUGUAGAAAGGUUUGAUUUUUUUAAAAAGAUGCUGCUUGGCAAGAUCUAACGUUAACCGAAGAUGGAAAAGGUGUGGUAUCUUGAAGUUUUUCCACCUCUACUCUCUGCUUACCUUCAGUGGAAAGUUGAUUUUCAUCAGCUGAGGAACAGAAACGAGUCCCAGCCUGCUAGCACAACCACAGUGUUAGUUAGGAAUAGUCUGAAACACAUGCAGGGAGUGAAAAUAAACCCCAGCUUAUCUGUACACUGACUUUAGACAAUAAGAGUAGCUGUGGACCAGACAUCUACUGAAAGGUGUCCUGGAGCAGAAGGCAAAGUUUCCCUUCUAAACAGCUUACUUUUGCCAUCCAGGUCCUGGAAACACUCAGCUAUUUGUAAGCAUAGAAUUUUCUCUGCAAAACACUGAUGCUUUGGGGUAGGCUGAGUACUCUGCAUUGAAAUCCAGGAUACAAUGCAGUCAGUGGGUGGCCCCAGACAACUUUGAAUGGGCUUUGGAAUAGGGCCCAAGCAUAUCACAAAGAAAGGGAGAAGGAAGCUUUGCUUUAGCCAAAUCUCUGAGCAUGUGCUUCACCACUGAAAUUAGUAAGAAUUAAGCAUAUACUUAAGUAUUCUGCUGACACUUACCUUAACCACCGAGUAACAAAUACUGUCUUGCAGAGACUCUGCUUAAAAGAGAAAAAUGCCUUUUACGUGUCAAAGAGGGACAUAACAUUUAAAAUGGCAUUUCAAAUUUCUUUUAUUUUUUAGUGACAUAGCAAAAGCAGUAUUUGGCCCUGUGCUGCUUGGAACGAGGACAUUUCAAAUUAUUACCAACUGCAGCUUCUCUCUGCAUCAUUUUGCAUUAUGCAGUUUAAUGGCUGCCUGCUAGAAAGGCAUCUUCUCUGCUUCAGUCAUCUAACAGGAUUUUUGGCAUCCAGCUCAUCAGAUGGGUUAUUUUCUUUAACCAUAUUCCUGUAGGACUGCAUCUUUUAAGCAUCCUGCUGCGUUAUUUUGGCACAACCUUUAUAUCUCUUCAUCUUAUUGUUUCUGGAAUUCCUUUUCUCUUUGUAUCAAGUGAUGUUGCUGUGUGUGCUUUUUCUAACAAAUCUUGGUGGAAGAUCAGAAAAACAAACAAACAAAAAAGGCUAAUGUAUCCUAAGGAUUGAUAAUUUCAGGGUCAAAAGAGAUUUUAAGUGCUGAUCUUCUUGCACCCGCUGAUGAAUCUUUCCGACCAAGAAGCUGGUGUAUCGUAUCUAGCUGGCAGCACACAGAACACAUUAGGAAAACAAAGAGAAUGUGAGAUUAAGCCGAAAACAGGCAAGAGAGGCAUUUUCUCACUGUUCUGCAUGAAGGCAGAAGAUGCUUCAAGAGGAUACAACCUCGGUUUUCUUGUUGGAACUAUGGCCUCUUCCCCCCAUCAGAUUAUUCAAAGGCAACAUCACUGAAGUCAAGUGAGAACAGGACACUGCUGAAGUAAUUACGAAGAAUUUGCCUACUCCAUCUUGACCGUCUGAGGGCAGUGUCACCUAAUAAUUGCUAAAGGAGAUAUGCCUGGUCACUGCAUACUGUCUGCACUGCAUUCACCCUCUGAAGAUGCCAUCCAAAACUCAGAGAUAUCAAAGAGAGCCUUUUCACAGAUCUUACCUGCAUCUUGGACUUUGGUAUAUUGGGCUCACUCUUCUGGGCCACAGUGCUUACUGAUAUAAACCUUUACUGGCACUGAAUCCAGUUUGAGAUAUAGAUCUGAAACAAGAUGCGACCAUGAAAGACCUCUCACACAAGUCCAGUGUAGGUUUCUACAAAAUGAGGUUGAAAGUAAAUGAUCUUUAUAUUCCCGUCCAACCUAAACUGUUUCAUGACCCUGUAAAAUGCUUUUUGCAUGAAGCUAUUUAUGCCUGGCUAGAACAUGACUGACAUGACUAUCCAGUUGUGUUCUAAGGACUUCAAGAGAUAAAGAACCUACAGCAGACUGGUAAGCUGUUCCAUGGGCAAUCAAGCUCCCUGUCAAGAACAUCCACCUUGCCCUAGGUAUGUUAAGCAGUUAUUCCACCUGGAACUGUUCUGCCUGGAGAACAGAAGGUUGAGAAGAGAUCACAUCACUGUUUAUAACUAUCUGAAGUGUGGGAGUGAAGUCGAGGAAGAAUGACUCUUUUCAGUGGUGCACUGUGAAAGAGCAAAGGGCAACAAGUGAAGACUGGGACACAGAAAGCUCCAUACAAACACAAGGAAAAGCUUCUUUACUGUGAGAAUGACAGAGCACUGGAACAGGCUGCUCAGGGAGACUGUGGACUCUCCUUCGCUGAAGAUGUUCAGAACCUGCCUGGACACUUCCCUGUGCCACCCUACAGGAGAGAACCUGCUUUAGCAGGGGGUGAGACUAGAUCAUCUCCAGAGGUUCUUUUCAGUCCCCACAGUUCUGCGAUUCUGUGAUUCUGUGAUAAGCUCCUCUUUAAACUGUAGUAGGAACCAUUGUGAUAUGAGUUCUGGUGGGAAAUGUCAUAACAAGUUGAUUUUGAGGAUACAAAAAAAAAAAAAAAAAAAAAAAAAGAAAAGAAGAGAAAAAGGAAUGAAAAAGAAAAAUCUCUUGAUUCUUCUCUAGGAGCAAAGGUACUUUGCAGCAAAGAUCUUGAUUUGUAUCAAAAAUUAGGAAAAGGGAAAAAGAUAGAUUUGGCAGAGAGCUGUUAAGAGCUCAAAAGCAAUGAUGGUUAGCACAGUAACCCCAGUGUGGUAGUGCUGAUCAUUCUGAACCUGUUAUCAACUUGAAGCAUUAAAUGUAAAAGAUUUUCCAGAUGACUAGUGUUGGGGAAGCUGGACAUUGUCAGAAGUACAGUGGUAAAUACAGAUGGGUGGAAACAUUCAGAUACAAACAAUUAAUCAUCAGUCCCUCAGAUAAGCGCUAGUCUUCAGGCACUGGUAACUAGCACUGAGCAGUCAGGUCAAUCCCAAACCCACUGGAGAACAAUUUUGGAAAUAUAGAAAGCUGGAAAUUUGGUGUCUGGUGAGUGGGAAGUUGGCUCAACUCCUUCUCCUCUUUCAUGCAUUUUUAAAAAUCAUGUGAAAACGCUUGCAAUAAUGAACCAAGAUCAGAAACAUCUGGUUUCAGCAGAAGUGAGGGAGUUGUGCCACUUUGUCCAGAACAGUUACUAAACUACAACUCAUCCUGCAAGUCCCCUUUAAAAUCCACUGGAUUUCCCCCCUGCUAUAGAUUCCUCUCUGGGGAGCCUUCCAGCCACUGCUCAUUUUGGCAUGCAGUUCUCCUGUCUGCUCACUUUCCCUGUCCAGUCUUUCUUCUCUCCGGCCCAAGCCACCUACAAGCUCCUGUGAGGAAAGGGCUAACUGCUCAGCCCUGCCCUGCAUGGAAAGAGCUUGCUGGAAGCUGUUCUCCUGAAAGACAGGCACCUAUUGCUUUGUCUCUGCCAGACCUGUAAACACCAGACUGAACACUUUCUCGGGAUGUAUCAGAAGCAACAAACUGACUGUGUGACAGAAACACCCAGGGCCCUGUUUUGAUCUCUGGAGGAGAGCAGGGACCCUUGGAACACAAACAGAGGCCUCGAGGCAGCCCAGGGAUGUGCCUGUCCAGCACCAGGAGCUCUGUGCGUGGGAAUGCAGGGAGGAUUGUGGAGGACUGGUGUAAUUAUAAGAAUUGAUGGGUCUGCGGAGCAUUUUUUGGAAAUUGUACAUGAACUGCUGCAGAUUUUAAUCAGGGUGUCUCUCUUCCUCUCAUUUACCUUCCUCAUGGAGGAGAGGUCUCCUGGCCAUGAUUAAACUUCAGUAAAGCUUUGUAAACCUGCCCUUUGGGUCAUGUUUCUUCCUCAGUCACAGCAAGUCCCCUGUCCCUUUUAAAAAACUCAGAUUGUACUGGUUUUUCUUGCUUAGUUUUCCACAUUCUACUGUGUUCAUCUUUUCUCUGCCUUCUCUAACAUCAGUUCUCUCAUGACAGAACCUCUUCUCUCUGUGUGUGUUUAUGGCCCUAUAUCUUCUUCACUUUUGGCUGGAGGGAUGAAGAGCUGCCUGCUGCUUGGACAAAGCAAAAAUUGAAGCUGUUCUCCUUGGGCUUCAUGGCUACUUAGGGCUCUGACUUACAUGAGCUUCAGCCACUUAGAAAAAGCACUACUUUCAGACUGAAAGCUCAGAAACUGAAGAGUUUUUAACCUCAUUACCUUGAGUAAUGAUCCACACCAGUCAUAAAAAAGGAGAAAGCUGGAGAAAACCUGAGGUGGUGAUAUCCUUAAAGCAGAUGAUUUUAUUUUUUGAAGAAAGAAAAUAAAAAAUGAUGAUGAAACAUUUUCCUGAAGAACAAAUCGAAACACUUCGUGCAGUGUUACCUGUUCACAGAAUAGGAUUUGUGUACCAAGAUGAAUCACUGCACUCUUGAGACUGGAUGACGUUUUUCUUGCAGAUUUUCAUAUUGCCUGGAAGAGAAAGAGAAGAAGGUGGAAGCAUGUGAUGGGCAGAGGCCAUUGGCAUGAGAGAGAGCAGGCUGAGACUUCAUGCUGGAGAUGGACAAGACCAAAACAUUUCUCCUGUGUCAGCCAAAGAGAGUUUCAAACCUAAAGCUGUUUGCAGAAUGAAGCCGUGAGCUGGCCAGAUGGAAACAAGACUCCACUGCACGGUACAUGGAAAAAACAAGUUCAUCAUGUUCUGUCUUCACUCUGAGACAUUCUUGGCAACUUCAGCCACAUCCUGGAAAGAGUGGAGGAGAGGAAGAGCAGAGGGGAGCCAGCAGGCAAAUGGGGUUAUGGGGUUUGGUUUGUAAAGUGCUUAGGAAAGCUGUUCAGCUUCAAGGAAAAUAUCUGAUUGCUGAGACAGGGCGUACUGGAUAAUUAUUUUUUGAAUGUCCUCGCCAUUUUUCAGUAUUUUACCACUGUUUUCUUUCUGUAGAGUGCAGCAGCAGUCAUCCUUCCUGGGCAAUAGCAUAAUUGUUUCAGCUAGAACUGUUUUCUUCUUAUGUGGCAGGGAUGUCUACAUAAACAGUUAGGGCACAGAACUGCUUUUAUGACUGCUCUUAUGCCAGAAGGUGAAACACAAUAAACUGAAUUUUCGAUAUUGCAGGUCUUUGUUUUUAUUGUUGUUUUUACAUAUAGUCUCACCAAAAAUAGCUUUGGUUCAUUCGUCAUUUCCUUUUUUGGUUGACACACAGCAUUUAGCUAUUCAGUUCUCUGAUGUUCCAGCAAAUAGCCAGACAAUUUUUAAAAUAAAUGUUCCCUUAGAGUUGCAUAUUUUUCCUUCAUUUCUGGGUCUGGGAAAUAGAAAGAGACCUCAGAAACAGCUGAAGUUUAUUUUAGAAGCUGAAAUAUGUUUGGCAUUCUUUUCUCCUUGUACUACACUAUUGUUUUCUUCAUUUUGUUGUCUCAGAGUUGUUGUCAGAUGUGAUUUUUAAGGGUGUAUUUUGGAUUGUCAGGAUUUUUAAAGCACCUUUUUUUUUUUUGAUCAUAGGAAUCAGAAUCCAUUUACUGCCAUGUGACUAAUGUUCGUCUGCACUGCUGAACUAGACAGUCACUACAAUGUCCGAGCUAAACCAUCCUCUUCUUUCUCUUGUCUCAUUUCUCUGUUGUUUCCCUGCUUGCCUGGGGAGAUUGUGCUUAUGCAGGCUCAGCCUCUGUCUGUCACUUUGGUGACUCUUGAACUACUUAAUUUAAGUCAGUUUCGAAAGUAGUCAGGAGGGAGGUUCUUGCACAUUUCAAGAAAGAAGGUAUAUUAACAGACAGGCACACUGACAGUACUGGCCAAACUCCCAAGUCCUUAUGCACAUCCCAUGCUGAUUCAAGUAUGAAGAACGAAUGCUCUGCUCAGAGCUGGAUCCCACCUUCAUUUGGGGCUGCUGGAGAUGCAACACUGAUGGCCACACAUUUUGCCCUGUGCCAUCAUUGCAGUUACCCUUUCCUACCUUGGGUUGUUGUGACUGCAGAGUAGAAGUGCAGAAGGAGAGGAGCUUUUGGGGAGAAAAAGCGGAACUACACCAGCUGGCAUCAUGAUUGAAUGAGUGACCUCACUGUCCACUGCAUCUGUGCCAGCUUUUGAACCACUGGCAGGCGUAAUGAGCUUCCCUCUUGGAGCAGACAGGUGCCACCUGAAGUAGCUGGAAGAAUCAUUUGACAUUACAAGGAGCUUUUUAAAAAAGGGAAGAGAACGUCUAUCUAGAAAGCUGCUCAGUGUGCAUAUAUAUGAUAGAAAAGAUAGAGCCGGUUUGAAUCAGAACACAACACUAUGCAUACCUUUGGUAUAAGGUCACUAUUACACUAAUACAUCUUCAUGUGAGGCUCAGGUAGCUGGAGUUCACAUACUGGAGGUUACCAAUGCAUCUCAGAACUCGGGAGGGAGUUUUAAAUGGACUCUGAACUCUGCUCCCCCAGGUUCCCUGAUGCAUUUAAAGCAACAUAUCCUUGUGUGAAUGGGUCGUGCUGCUGUGCAACCAUUGGAGUUUGGAAAAGCCGUGCUGAGCUGCAUAAAACCUGGGUGUUUACUUUCCGACUCUGCUGUAUUAGGCACCUCAAUCUGAUGGGCCAGCAGGUUAGGUGGUAUGGAUCCUGCUUUCUUAGUUCAAACAGAUUUUUGCAGGCUAUUAAUAGAUACUGAUGCAAGCAUGCAUCUGCAAUGUGCUCAUAUGCUGUUGCAGGUGUGUGUGGGGGUGCCCGGCUGCACAGACACGAAAGCACUGCUGAAGGCAUUACUGCAGGUUUGGGUGAAAUGUGUGUAAUUACAGGCAAUUUCCUUUGCUGCUCUCAGGUCUAUGCCUUUGCAUGGAUUUAAGGGUCUUAAAAAGCCUCUGAAGUCCUGACAAAAAGCCUCUAAAGUCCUGACAAAAAGCCUCUGAAGUCCUGACUCAUCCCCUGAUCCCAAAGCGUAUUUAAUAAAAGGAAGUCAGUGUACACUUGCACGGCUCCAGGUGCGGCUGGCAGGGUGCUAUCUGCCCAGAAGGUUGUAUUUAUUCCCGAAGAGUAGGAAUAAGCUGUAACGUUUCUACCCAACCAUUUUUCUUAUGUUAGACAUCAUCAGCAAUAAGAACAAGAGGGGCUGAAGAAGCAAUGAGAUGCGAUUAUUUCUGAUAUUCUUGCUGAGGUUUUAUGCUGUGCUUUUUAGUCUUGAUUAUAUACCUCAAGGCAGGAAAACAGUUGAAGCAGAUUUUAUGUAUCAGUUUAGAUUAUUUCCUUGGCCCUAUUACUAUUUUCUUUAGAGAAAAUUAAAAAGGAAAAAGAAUAUUUUUAGGGCCUCUCAUUUUAGCAGGCAGCCCCUCUUACUAAAAUGUUCUUACCUGCUGUGUUUUUUGAAUGUUUGGCAUUUAUUGCUAGAAAUGUUACCAUUUAUUUUUUUAUUCUGAAUCCCUCUUGGUGCAAAACUCAAAGCGCAUCCUAUUUAUUGUACAGUUUUGAACAGAUAUAAACACAGAUUCAUGGUUUCAUAGCUUCAUACGUGAAGCUGAAUGUCAUUUUUCUGAGGAAUGCUCUUUUGUGUAUCACAAGAGUUAAUUUAGCCCUGCCAUUUUUAGUGUGGUUGAGGUACUUCAAUUUGAUAAAUGCGUAAUGGAUUGAGACACUCGCAGACUUUUCCUUCAGUUUUCUGUCAGCUCAUGACCAAAAAGGCAAAAAACAUGACAAAAACAUUAUAAAAAAUAUUUUUCUGGGGUUGGUGGAGUUUUGCUGUUGAAAACCUGGAAUAAUACAUUAUUGAUCAGUUUGGUCUUCAGGAAAUUCUGUAUAUCAAGGGAAAAUAAAAAUGAGAUUUCUCUCACAGGAAUACCAGUUAGACUACUUUGUUAGCAACUUUAGCAUAUAUUGAAAAAGAAAAGUAUGAAUCAACCAGUAGUUCUUUUUAGCUAUAAAGUAAUUUAAUUUUUAUUUAAAAAAAUAUCUUUAUUGGGUCAGUGGAAAAGUAAGACAAAAUAAGAAGUAGAUUGGGACUCAGAUUUAAACUUACAGUAAGAAUAAGCAAUGAAAAAAAGAGAAAAAUAUAAGCUAUGGACCAGAGGCACCCAAACAGGGGCAAACUGCACUUGUGGAAGGCAAUGAUCAGGAAAACCAGAGCAUGAGAGCACUCUGGCCAGCGUAACCUGGAUUUACAGAUUCAUCUCUUACUGAGGUGGGGGGACCUCCUUGUGUUCUGCAUUUCUUACUCCAUAUUCGGUAUAGUAAAGGAUGAAAUAAUUCAAAUGUGUCAGCUUUGGAUUUCUACAGAAUCCCAGUUAUCAGAUAUAAAAUAAAAAACACAGGUGGGAUUACUUAUACAUGACAUUGGCUGAUAGCUCUGUGGCCCACUUCUAUAGAGAGAAAUAUCCGAUUAAAUUGAAAUGUGCUCGGUAGAGAGAAAUGCCUUCCAUUUUCAUCCUUGAAUCAAUCCACUUACACUGAGAAUAAAAGACGUGAAGAAACAAUCCCUAGGUAAAUUACAGCAGCAGAGGUUGAUGCUCUCUUUUUGAUCCUUCACACAGUUGCUGGUUUCCUCUGCACAGCGAACAGCGGCACUUGGGAAGCAGUAAACAGCUCAGGCUGCCUGACAGUAACCUGAGGCUCCAUCCUGCAGAACAGAAAAUGAAAGGGAAUUCAAAGAGAAUGAAGGGUACAGCACAGGGGAAAGCUACUUAGUAAAUGUUUGUAAUUGGGACCAUUCUGGAACGUGCAUAAGCAUGCUAGAAAAUCAAUAUAACCUCUGGGAUCCUCAUCCUUUCAGACAAGAGCUUGAAAAUUCAUUUUGUGCUCAAGAUGUCCCUACCACAAACAUAUCUUUAGAUACGGGAAAAGAGUUGGAAGAGUAUAGAAUAACAGAUGACAAGUACACAAUAGUGAUAAAUGAGAGUGAAAAAAAGAAGCAAUACGAAGAUUGUACUUAAAACCCACACUGUUAAUUGGAAUCAAGUUAUAGUGCUUUCCUUCUUGGAAAAAGAAUAAUAAUUUUUCUUCAGCUUUGGCAGAAGAACAGCAUGCAUAAGAGCAAAUAAUAUUUGAAAGUUGAACAAGCCGACAUGGCACCAAGUGAGAUAAAUGCUUAUCUCAUAAUCAUUAGCUCCUGGCCUAGCAACUGCUUUGCGUUGCCAAAAAUUCAGAGUUGGAGGAGAAUUGCAUAGACUAAAAAUAAUAGUUCCAAGGAGCAGCAUCAGAAAAUAGUUGCAACUGUAUUCUUCUGUGAUCUUUGAAGUAUUAUGAAAACAAAGAAACAAGUAACAUCUCAUUCUGGUGCUUCUAAAUCAUAGUUUUGGAGCGAUAGCUUUUAUUUUUUACUACAGAAGUGGCUAACGCACAUGUUAUUCAUAAACCAAGUGUCUGCUUCUGUUGGAUAGCCUUUUCCAUCAUUACCUGUCUGAACAAAAAAUCCCUGCUGUUCCUAGAAGGGGGGGAAAGUGGUCACAGCAGCUUCUAGACAGCAGAUCAAAAAUACUCUGGACUCCUGCCUCAGCAUGAAGCUGAUCUGCUAUGUUAAGCCAUCUAUUUAGCAAGAUAACCAUCUGUCCAGAGUAGGCUUGGUGAGGUAAUGGUUUUAUUAAUUUCUUAUAAUAAGUAAGAUGAGCAGAUGAGGCUGCCUGUAGCAUUCAGAUAGGAGAAUAUGACCUUUACAAAAUUAUCUGCUUUCAUUUCUGAUGCAAAACAUUAUGUUUUUCAGUGUAUCAGAGGUGUUACUGGGUGAUUUUUGCCAGGGCUUUUAAGUGGGCACGAGAAAACACGAGGGUGAUGAGUCUGAAUUUGUUUUCACGUCUGCAGAUUAGACGUUUUCUAAUCACCAAGGCUGAAGCAAGAGAAAAAUAUCUCCUCCCAACUUGUAUUUCUCUACACUGAAGGUCAGUGAUUGCAGUUCACAUGUUGUUCUAACUUUGCCAGACAAAACAAAACUUUUAUAAAGCUACUUGCUCUUGAUUAGCAUUAGCUUUCCUUGUUUGUUUGUUGCUACCAACUCCGCUUAAAAAUGGUGAUCUUUCUUGUAGCCGAAUUUCCUCCUUAGAUUUCCACUGACUAGUUUUUCCAUUGCACUUCUAUUUGAACACAGAAGGGCCUCUAGGACUCAGCAUUUUCACUACCUAAAGAAGCCACAGGGAAUGUCACUUUGCACACUUCAGUGUGCAAACAAGACUCCUGAAGUCUCCCGGUACUUUUCUUCUUUCAGCCCUGAAAUCAUUUAUACAGCCUUUACCUUCAAUAUAUUGAGAACAUCAGCAUCUUUUUAUAAAUGUGAAUGCCAAAAGUGCACAGAACAGCACUUUGAGCAAUGACUUCUAUAUUCAUGGGGAAAAAAAAAUCAUAGAAAAAAAAAGUAUUUUGGAACAGAUUUUAGCAUAAAUUCCGUCACCAGUAUAACCAAUAGCUAAGUAAUGCAAGUGAAGGAAAAAGAGCUUGUACCUUUAAGAUGCAGUGUUUAUGUGGUAUGAUGAUAAAUCACGAACAGCACCUAUUAUACAUAAAUUGUGGAAAAUGUUGAAAGUGUUGCUACCAAAUAGACUAAAAUAUUUUAUGGGUUAUCUCUUCCUUUUAUGUGCAAAAAGAAGGUCUAAUUACAUUGUCCAUCAACUCUGAGGAUUAUUUCACGGAUAUGUCUGCAGGUCCCUGCAGUCUUCUGUGUGGAACAGACAGUCCAGACAUGCUUGGUAACAUGUAUUUUGUGUAUGUGUGUGUGUGUUCACUUUACCACCAUCACUUAGCCCUGCUGAGCUUUUCAGGUUAAACAAUUUGCCAUUACAUUUUACUCCUCUGCACUUCCACUAGAUUUGCAAAGAUCUGGGAGAUUUGACUAGUGUUAGUCCAUUGCUUGCUAAGCGUUCUCAUCAUCCUCAAAACAUCUGAUUAUUAAGCAAUUACUACCAGCAAUUAACUUAGCUGAAUAAACAAACAAGGGAGGACAGCAUGCAAACUGCUGCCUGUAUGCUUCAGCUCGUGGCACUUCUCCAUUUUGUCUUCUUUCUCCAUCAGAGAUGUGUGCCACAUAUUGUGCUGGGAAAAAAACAAACUCAGAUACAACUGCCCUAGGUGAGAAGCAGGCACUGACAUACACUGAACUUGAGGGAGAGGGAUGUCCACUCAGCCUUUAAAGAUCUCAGCAGGUUGCUCCUGACAGACUGCCUUCUAAAGGAGACUGACCCGAGACGUGUGGCAUCAUUAAAUUGGGAAUGAUGCUGGACAUGCACUGCAACCACACAAGUGAAAGUUUCCUGCUUUUGGUGGAGAGAGUUGAUGAACAUAAAACAUAGGAAGAUGUGAUAUGAUUCUGGAAGCUGGGGAUUUUGGAAAAGUGACCCUUCAUCUGGGGUUUGUGAUCUGUACCAUUCAACCCAUUAGAAAGGAGCCUCCCUGUCUAUGUUCUGCCCAAAGACACAACAUGUCCUCCCUAGAUGUUUGAUUUGGGGAAGGACAAGGGAAAGAGAGAACACCGAUUUCCACAAGCCAUGUUGCCUUCUAGUCAUAAGAGACUCAGUAUCAGUAUGAAAACAGACACUGCAUUCCUUCUGACUGAUUGCAGGAGCACAACGACACUGUCUGGGCCUCUGGAAAGCCAUCCAGAAGCCACAGAAUGACUUUGGGUCUCCUCUGUGCAUGUAACCUUUGUGCCAUUUGCGAGGGCAUGUACUGGAUGAAGAAUGCCUGGGCUAUUAGUGUGGUAUGUAAGUGGCUGUUCCAGGGAGCUGCAUAUACCAGAGUGAGUAUUUACCCUGGCUUUCCAAGUGAGAUCCUUCUACCUUCUUUCAUAUCAUCCUCUUGUUCAUCAUAUUGUGCAGACAGUUGAGGCAUCGUGUUUUGCUGCUUUUCAAGUUGUAGCACUGGGGUGUUGUGCUGGGGUUAAGAAAUAAAGAAUAUGAACAAUAAAACUAUGGAUACAAAACUAACACAGCUGGAAAGAAAGCCUACCAGGGGAGAUGCCCUACUAGACCUGCUGUUUAUGAAUAGAGAAGGAAUGAUGGAAGAUAUGGUGGAUGGAAGCUGUCUUCACAGAAUGACUACAAAAUGCUCCUGUAGCUGGAGCACAAACACGAGUUAUAAUCUUCAAACAACAACUCUAAAGAAGCUGGUCUAGCUUUUCCCUGACUGGGGACCACAUCUCAGAUAGACCUUUCUCAGCACAUGUAAAAGGCUUUGGUGUUGUCCCAGAUUGCAUACCCCAUGGAAGAAAUGUUUCUACUAGAUACAGUAACUUGUCCCCUUUUCCUGACACUAAUGGAACAUCUAAAACACAACAGUUGAUCAGGCGAUGCACCUGAAAAUCUGCUAUACAUGUUGUGGCAAGCUUGGUAUUAACAACUUGCCAUGUACUGAUUUUCUGGUUCAGAAGUGGCAGAUUUCUUCACUUGUUGUCAGUCUUUCUUCAGGUGAGCUUUUUGCCACCCCACAGCAUCUACCUCCUUGUCAUCCACACAACUCCUCUCACUCUCCAUGCAAAGUGGAGUUUCUAGGCCAAAUCCACCUUUGUUUUUUGUUCUCCUUCAGUUCUAGGUCCGUACAAGAUCCCUGGAAAUACAAGUUAGACAGGUGAAGGCUGAGAUGAAAUUAGAUGUGAUAUGACACUUCUUCAAUGAGAACUACUGGUGAUAGGCAGACAGGUGGACUGAAUCUUCUUCUCUGAAUCUAGACUGAACACAGCUCCUGGCAGCCUUGUGCUAGGCUGGAAGCACAGAAGUGCCAACUUUUUCUCUGCUGAAGACACAGGAAUGAGAUCAUGUAGUGCCUUGCAUUUUUAAGGGUUUCUGAUGAUAGAGGUAACCUUACAUCCUUUUUUUUCCUACAAAGGCGCAUUGCAGAAAAUAAGCUGCUUUCUGUCCUUUAAAAGAUGAAAGCAAAUGCCUUCCUAGGAAUGGCACCAGAAGAUAACUUUGAAGAGUACACCUGAUGUUACCUUCCUCCUGUGGCUGAUCAAGAAAUCUUUCCCUGUGGUUUUCUCUCAUGGCAGAGUUUUCUGCAUCCUUCUUGAAUGUGUGUAGGCCUGGGUUCUGAGCACAGAACCCAGAACUUCCCUUGUAACCAGCUGUAGAAGCUCCUGUUUAGUUAAGGUGAGGUCUGUGGACUUGUCCACAAUCUAAUAAAGGCUGAAGUGGUUAUGGUAGCACCAUAAGAUACUAUCCUGAAGUAGUGCACUCAGUGCCACGCAUAUUAAUAAAGCUGAAUACUUUCUUAUGGUGUCGAU